rnacentral:tRNA from 1 species
GCCCUGUUGGUGGAACGGCAGACACAACGCGCUUAGAACGCGUCGGUUAACAGCCAUGGGAGUUCAAAUCUCUCACGGGGUACCA